rnacentral:rRNA from 1 species
ACGCUCGACACCUACUGGAGGCAGCAGUCGGGAAUAUUGCGCAAUGGAGGAAACUCUGACGCAGUGACGCCGCGUGCAGGAAGAAGGUUUUCGGAUUGUAAACUGCUUUAGACAGGGGAAGAAGGAAAUGACAGUACCUGUAGAAUAAGCUCCGGCUAACUACGUGCCUGCAGCCGCGGUAAUCUGAGCGGGCUGGCAAGGC